rnacentral:misc_RNA from 1 species
UUUCCGUAGGUGAACCUGCGGAAGGAUCAUUACCGAGUGAGGGCCCUCUGGGUCCAACCUCCCACCCGUGUUUAUCGUACCUUGUUGCUUCGGCGGGCCCGCCUCACGGCCGCCGGGGGGCAUCCGCCCCCGGGCCCGCGCCCGCCGAAGACACACAAACGAACUCUUGUCUGAAGAUUGCAGUCUGAGUACUUGACUAAAUCAGUUAAAACUUUCAACAACGGAUCUCUUGGUUCCGGCAUCGAUGAAGAACGCAGC